UCCGACGCGAAAGGCCUUUCGGAUUGGCUGCCUCCAGGGGCCCGCGCCCCGCUGCGGCUGGCCGGCUGGGGGUCAGGAGCCCCUAAAUACUUCUGGCUGCCGAGAGUGGCCUCAGACUAGGCGAGCUGCCGCGCGCGCCGCUGCCCGGAGCCGCGUGGGGUCCCAGUGCUGCCGGCCCGUCUCCUGUGCACCGCCCCAUGCAUCUCUGCCUCUGCCACAGCCCGUCCCCGCAGCAGCUCCUGCGGUCUGGCGGAGCCCAGCGGCGGCCCCUGCGGUCCUUACGCUCCUGCCUGGCACGACCUCCUAAACCCCAGGGCCCCAAGAAGCAGGUGGUGUUUGCAGACACGAAGGGGCUCUCGUUGACAUCUAUGCACCUGUUUGAGGAUGCUGUGGGCGGAGACUCUGAGGAGGGCUCGUGUCACCUGUCCAGCUUCCCGCGCCCCGCAUCCCCCCCAACCCUCUGCGCCCCGGGCCUCUCGGCCCCUGGGCCCGACUCGGGGUUUCCGGAGGCGCCAGCAGAACCGGAGCGUGUGCCGGCAGCAGAGCGCGGGGCCGGGGGGCUGCCUGCGAGGCACCGUGCGGGUGCGCAUUCUGGCUUUCCAGAAGGCAGUGCAGAUGCGCACGACCUUUGAUGCCAGCCACUCGUUCCAAAAAGCGCCCCAGCGUUGGUGGUAUAGUGGUGAGCAUAGCUGCCUUCCCAGAAGCGCCCUGUGUUCACACGGCCGGUCCUUGGAGAAGCGAGACUGACAGCUUCGGCUUCCCAGUGGCGAGGCCCCUAGUGUCCCCGGGCCCUGAGGACGCCAUCCGGUUCUGCAUCUCUUUAGGGUGUGCUCAGCAGCUUUUGGGGAACAACAGUCAAGGACAGAACUGUUGCGUGGUGCCCAGUUCACAGUCCUGCUCAUCAGACUGAAAUUGAACUCUCUCGAGGGCCCACAGGCUGAGCCCUCUGGGAUUACUUUUUCUGCACAGGCAGAGCUUGAUUUUCUUACCCAGGUGGUGCGUAUUUCCUUUCUCUCCAGGAGCUUCCCCCAGACUGUUUUUGCUCCGGGAUUCAUAGCGGGGAAACCGGACUGGGGCAACUCCCAGCCACGGCCCCUUCCUCGGGGGGGCCCCAAGCCUUGAAUGCGUUGCAUUCUUCUUUCUGGGGGGCAGGCUCACUUCCUGACCGAAGGGAUGAGAUUUCCUUCCUGAAGAUGCUCGGUAUGGCACCUUUUAUCCUUCGCAGGGAAGGAAGCCUUUGGAAUGUGGAACAGGAGAAACGUAAAUAAAGCUUUUAAAUGUAAUUCUUUAAAA